UCAGUGACUUUGAUUGUAGCGGGAGC
rnacentral:piRNA from 1 species